GAAAUGCGAUAAGUAAUGUGAAUUGCAGAAUUCAGUGAAUCAUCGAAUCUUUGAACGCACAUUGCGCCCUCUGGUACCCCGGAGGGCAUGCCUGUUCGAGCGUCAGCAACAACCCCCCCUCAAGGAAUUGGCCUUGGUGAUGGCGGUGGUGGAGGGAGAGCUCUCUCUCUCCCUUCACCCGAGCCGAAGUUCAUAGGCGGUUUUUUGCACGCACCGAGCCGUGGGGCGGAAAAGGGCGUACUGAGUAUUCACCGUCCGGUUCCGAAAGCUUUACCGGUUUCUGUGGCGUUGCGCUCGCCUCGCAAGGAAGAAAUCUUUUUUGUGGUUUGACCUCGAAUCAGGCAGGGAUACCCGCUGAACUUAA
rnacentral:misc_RNA from 1 species